UGUGGACAGUGGACAGCAAUGCAGCUCCAUGUGCGGAAGUGCUAGACACAGUUUUCAGGUAGAGCCCCACUGGAGAUAAUUAUCAGGAUACUCCAACCAGACAUGUGAGAUGUCUGGCCAACUUCACAACACGUGUCCUAAUGAUCACUCCAUUUUCUUAUUCUACACAUGGCACUUCACCUAUUACUACUGGGAAAUCUUAAGCUUACAACUAUUUUAUCCAGUAUAUCAACGAUUUUACAACUAUUUUAUCAAGGUUUAAUACCCCUUGGGAUAUCUGCUUUUUAAAAACAGAUGAAAGAAAUCAUAUUGAUGAGGUUACACAUGCAAAUAAAUAAAAACCUAGGGAAUAACACAGAUUAAUUUAAUGUGGAAUGAUAAGCUCUCCAUUACUAACCCCAUUAUCAUUUCUGAACCAUCAACAUUCUCAGGUUAAAGGAAUAAACCAGAAAGGAAUGAGGGCAGUAGGCAAGGUAGCUCGUAAAACAUUUGAGAAUUUCCACAGCAAAAUUACAAAAUAUUAAUAAAAAGGUAUAUUUUCCUUUGAGAUAUUAAUACUAAACCCCCACCAAAAAAUAUCCCUGCUACACACUGCUACCUCCUUCAAGAUCUGCACAAACACCUACACAAAGUGCAAAAAGCCAUCCAAAUUUCCCUAGCUAAUUUAACUCUAUCAAGUUUGGUUAAAUAUUUGAAUGUAGAAAUAAUCCAACAACUAAAUAUUUGUUAUUUAGUUUGAAGAAAAGAUUUCUUAGUUUUAAGAAACAUCUAAUUUGACUUUAAUUAUUUUUAAAAAGUUUGUAAAUAAUUUUCCACUAAGAAAAAUAAUAAACUGUAUUGCUACUAGUAAGACAUCUUUAAACACUCCCUGUGAGCAAGGUACCAGUGAAACUUAGAGCUAGGUCCUGGGCAAAUGGUACCUCAAAAAACAGAGCAGUGAUGAGUCAGCAUGCAGCUCAAGUUAGACCAUACCCAGGUUGAUGUUUGUUCUGGGUUUCACCCUUUCCAAAGCUUUCACCCACCCAAUUUAAUGCACAAGGUAGUCUGUCCAUUCCCCAACAAAAUAUGAGGCAGAGCCCAAAAAAGUUGUCCUUUACAAUAUUAUCAUACAAAUUAUCCAAAUACAUUAUCAAGGCUGUCACACCUAAAAGUUAGCAACUGGUUAGUAUUUCAAGAUCCACCCAUCUCUAGGAACUUCUGUGAUUGUCAAAGGAACAGCAAUGGGAGAAUGGGAUCUUUUCCACUGCUGGGAAGAAGUGCCAGCAGAGAUCCAGGUACUAGAAAUCCUGCAAGAGAUAUCCUUCCAGGAGGGGUCUGGAAUAGAGAAGGAAGAAUCCUGCAUAGGCUAACUAGGUUAUUCCCAGCAAGAAGCUGUAGCUCUUCUUUGGUCCUGAGGCUGUCAACUCCAGCUUGGAGCUGAGCAAUGCCUCAGGCAAGGACAUAUCUAUCCACAGUGUUCCAACAAACCAGAGGGAGGAAGGAGAAAUCCAAAAAGGGAGAAAGAAUUGUGUUAGUGUGGUGCUUACCUCUUCCUGCAUGCCACCAAAUGGGAUAAUUCCAAGCAGCCUCCCUGUUCUUGCACACACACGCAUACAUGCUGACACGUGCUUCACUGGUCUCUACAUUUAAUGAGCCAGUAGUUCAAGAAUUACACCUUCAUGAUUUCCACCCCCAUGCUCAAACAUAAAUAGGUAUAAAUACACACACACACACACACACACACACAAACUUCCCAUAUCUCCAUGCUCUGUAAGUGGUCACAGCACCACAUGACACGAGCCCUUAGAAUCACAGGGACCAUAGCAACAACCCCCUACCCGCUUUGGGGGACCCUGACUUUGGGGAAACCUUCCAACAGUAUACAGCAUACCUGCGCCAGGCCUGCCACUCCAAAAGACAAGCUAAUAAUGGAGAGACCAAAGUCUUGAUUGAUCCCUGAAAGCAAGCGAGUUUAGCACCAAACCCUAAGUGACCAUGUGGCAGUGGCACUCCCAGGGGACAGCCCAAGCACCCACAGGCCACCCUGAUCUGCAACAAUUUUCCUGCAACCCUGGAGGUCCAAGCAGCUUAGGCUCGGUUUUCCAAUGCCUUAAGACUGUGAGCAGGCACCUCCCAAGCUUCUCAACAUCCUCUCGCAGUGCUUGGUUCCCUGGCUUUUUACAAGUGCACAGAUGUGAGCCCUAUACAUACACCAGCCUCCUAAGUUUCAGGGGGCAAAGUGCCCCACCAGCCUUGCUGCCCACUGUCACUCUACAGGAACCCCCCCAGUGAAUGUCCUGGCACUUCUUCCCCUGGGAGGACACAUGAGAUGGUGCUUACAAAUUACAGAAACUGUAUCUCAUUCUCGCCUUUGCAACCAUGGCGCUGCGAUCAUCGUAGGAGUAGGCUCCUGAGCCCUGAGCAAUUAGGUAAUGAUGGCCCCUUCUGCUGCAUGCUCCUGCUCCUACACUUGCUGCUGCUCUGAGCUGCGGGUGUCAUCGUGCUACACUGCUGGUGGCGAUCACCUGGCAGUCCACACUUGCAAAACCAAGACUGUGCUGCAGGGGUAUGCAAGAACAGCAGAGGCUCUGGGGCUCCCUGUGCCUCAACAUUCCACAGGAGACAUUCCAGGGUAGGAGACAUGGGGAGUUUUCUUGUGGCACAGCACAGUCCUGCUUGUGGCCUGCAGCAGGCAGACUGCUCUACCUGCUUCUUGCAAAGAAUAUAUGGAGCUAGUAGAAUUGGGGUAGUGCCAUGGCAGGGGUGGGACAGGGGCUAGCCGUUAACUAAACACUCAGGAGACAGCACCUCAAGUUCCAGGUUCUCAGGUGAGAAAGAGAGGCUUAGAAGUUGUCUUGUCCUUUAUGUUGUAGCCUCCCGCCCCCCGGGACUUGCAGAGAUCAUACAGAGCUUCUGCCUGUUUAAUGCACACACCAGGUCUGUCCUUCACCAUGCACAUCACAUGCUCUCAUUUUCUCAGCCAGUCAGAAAGAAACAAUCACUGUGAUGCAGUUCACAACUUACCCUCCCACUUACCAGUCACAGUCCUUUCCUCAGCCUAGCACCAGGAUGAUCUGCACUCUGUACCUUUACACUUCUGCUUGAGUGGUUCCGGAUCCCGAGUAGCUUCUUCCUCUAGAGUGUGCCUAAGUGUUUUCUGCCUAUAAAACUACCUUUGCUGGUGCUCAGGUGGUAUAACCAGAGCAGAUCCUGCUUGGCUCACUCUUCACUGGACAGUCUUACAUUGUUCCUGAAUCUUUCUUCUGAGCAGGAAAUUUAACUGCAUGCUUCAUUAGAAGUCUUUUCUGUACCCAUCACCGUGCCAGGCAAGGCUUGGACACUUUCUCUAAGUGGAUCUCAUUUGUCUUCCGUGGCACUUUAUUUACUUUUCUCCUGUUUCCUUAACCUCCAAAUGUCCAGCACCCAUGUGGACUUGAAAGAGCUCAAAACUAUUAAAAUGUACCUAUUAAAGCAAAAAGAGGGAAUUGGACAGGGAUAUAUAUCCCCCAAAGAUAAACUAAAAAUAACCCUUUUUACUCUAAACUUUUUAAAUUUGGAUUUAUCAGGGCUUAGUGCUGCAGAAAGACAUAUGUAUCCAAAAAAAUAUACAUAAGCCUAAGGUACUUUGGAAGGAUAUUUUAACAGGUCAAUGGAAAGGUCCUGACCCAGUGAUUGUCUGGAGUUGGGGUUCUGUUUGUGUGUUUCCACAGGCAGAACAGCAGCCAAUUUGGAUUAAAGAGAGACUAACCAAAGCGAUUUCCACAGACCAAAAAGAAGACAAUUUGACUCAAAUCCAUAAUAGCUGAUAUCCAGUGCUCAAGCUUGGCUAUUUUUACAUCUGCAACAGUUGUUCUCCCACACCUAGAUGCUAAUGAAUAAUGAACAACAUUAAAGCCUAUUUCAAAUGUAAAAAUCCUUGGGACUUGCUUGUGGAAAUACCUUCAGACCCAUUAUGCAAGUUACAGGAAAAAGGAUGGGAUAUCCACAAAAGAGUCAAACCAGGUGGUAACUAGGAUGUCUUUUUUCAAUAUCUAUUUUAUUAUUGCCCUUUCCUACAUCAUGAAGUUCUAUUUUAUUUUUUGAGCUCAUACAUACCUAGGUUAAUGUUUUUCUGAUCAGUUUUAUUUUUAUACUGUGGUGUUUUUAAACAUUGCAAUGGAGAUUUCACCUGUGUAAAGCUACGAGGCCUUUACUAUUGUCUUAUGUGUUCUAUGUUAUGUGUGCACACUUGUGUUUUGUGUUGUAUGUCUGCAUGUGCAUAUGUCCAUAUAUCAUAUAUGAGGAACACUCAUAAAAUAAUGGAUCCAAAUAUUUUUAUUAUUCACGUGAUUUAAAUGGUUUAAUUUAAAUUGGGUAAACAGCUGUUGAGGAUUGUUUUAAUAUGUGAACAAAUAAGGAGGUCAACAGACCUGUUUGUUUACUUUCACCUUUCCUUUACAUUAUAUUUAAUAAUUCUGUUCAUGAUAAUGUAAAUUGUUCAGAAAAGUAUUUUCUUAAUACCUGUAGGAAUGGUACAUAAUUUUCUUUUUUACCCAUCAUUACCAGAAUUUUUAUGUUCAUCCCAGUUCCGGUGAAGACAAGGUGAAGACAAAGAUAAAACCAAACUACAGCUUCUUCAAUAGCUAUCACAGUAAACUGUAUAAACUGAUGCAUCAAUGAAUAAUAACUCAACAUGUAAUGCUCAAUCAAGGAGUCAAUUUACUUUGGGAGGAAAUGGAAAUAUUGGUAGAUUCCUCUGCUUUGAACUGCUUGCAGAACUUGCCUGGACUGUGUAUCACUUGUAUACAUUGUGAACUAUCUGUUGAUACAGUGAAUUGUGGUAGUGCCUGAGUAUCUUUGCUGAUGGUGUCACCGGUGGUACAAUUUUUCCAAAAAGAGCCGCCAAUUGAUUUAGUUUCAUGGCAUUUCUGUAUCCUCCCUUCUGCUAGUGAUGGUCUAAAAUUUGGGGGCCAACAGAGGUGAGGCAAAGAACCUCACACCCCACUGGUGCAUAGGCCUAUCCACAAGUAUGGCUGUAUGCUGGACUGGUAGUCAGUGAUGGGUAAGAUCCAAUUGCAGUGGUACCAACCUAAGACAGAAGGCUGAUGCCUUGAGGUCAGCUCAUCUGAUGAUGGGUAAGGACCAUAUGUAGUACUGGACAGCCUAACAGACAAGUCCCUAAGCCACAUGCUUGGUGUUUAAUUAAACAGAAGGGGUGAGAUGCUGAGAGCCAUAGCUGAGUUGGAAUGAUGCAUGGCAUUUUUGCCAGAACAGAGUGGUUGAGAGGUGAUGUCAGCAAGCCAUUGAGAUGAUAAUGGUUAUGUUAAGCUGUGUAUUCAAUUGUAUAUUAGACCCCUGCUGUCCACCUCUGCCUGGUACUUUGGAGUUCUCAUGCUACUUUGGCAUUUUCACAGGGAUUCCCAGAGGGUUCCCAUUGGUUGGGGAAGUGCAGGAGGAGGGAUUUCUGGAGGAGGGAUUUCUGGUUGGUAUGUGAUGUGUCCCGGAGAAGGCGGAGUGCGGAGAAUAAAGGACUUCCUGUUUUGAACCUACAAGGCUAUGUGGUGGCUCGGUUAUUUUGUGCCCA
rnacentral:lncRNA from 1 species